UACGUAGGGGGCAAGCGUUGUCCAGAAUCAUUGGGCGUAAAGAGCGUGUAGGCGGCCCGAUAAGUCCGCUGUGAAAGUCCAGGGCUCAACCCUGGGAUGCCGGUGGAUACUGUCGGGCUCGAGUCCGGAAGAGGCGAGUGGAAUUCCUGGUGUAGCGGUGAAAUGCGCAGAUAUCAGGAGGAACACCAAUGGCGAAGGCAGCUCGCUGGGACGUGACUGACGCUGAGACGCGAAAGCGUGGGGAGCAAACAGG
rnacentral:rRNA from 1 species